rnacentral:rRNA from 1 species
UAUCGGUAGGGUGCGAGCGUUUAAUCGGAAUUACUGGGCGUAAAGCGUGCGCAGGCGGUUCGUUGUGUCGGCGGUGAAAGCCCCGGGCUUAACCUGGGAAUGGCCGUUGAAACUGGCGAACUGGAGUGUGGCAGAGGGGGGGUGGAAUUCCACGUGUAGCAGUGAAAUGCGUAGAGAUGUGGAGGAACACCGAUGGCGAAGGCAGCCCCCCUGGGGUUAACACUGACGCUCAGGCACGAAAGCGUGGGGAGCAAACAGG